CUGGUUUCCAUACAUCCUUGUCGUUGUAUUGUUGGCCGUCCAACGAGCAGCUGCCGAAACCGCCUACAAAGGAGACCCAAGGUGGAGGAGUCAUUCAACAUAAUGCUGUAAAUGUCAAGAUUCAGACUGGUGGUUGGUGGCAGAAUGUGGAAACGGACUGGACCAGAGAUUCAACAGUCCUUUAUGGCCUGCUCGGACAACCUUUUUCUCACAAGUGCUGCUAAAAACAAACUGCUAGCACAAUUAAAAAUUACAACAUUUAUCUGCAUAAAAAAUAAAUAGAACAGGAUUCCUUUUCUUAUAUAUUUUAUUAAACAAAAUGUUUUUCCGAUAGAAACUACUUCCUUAUGGAUCCAUCAGUGCUACUUCUUGUUGGAGUUUUUGUUUGUAGGCAGGAAGCAGGAGAAUAAAGUUUUGGUCUGAUUUGCCUUAGGGAGGGUGGGGGAGGGUCUGAUUUACCUUAGGGAGGGAGGGGGAACAGCCUUGUAUACAUCGUUGUGAGUGAAAGUAAAAGUAAUCCAGAGUUUUUUUUUCACCUCCAGAUGCGCAUAUUACAUGUUGGUUAAGAUGCACUUAAACAGAUUACAGUUUCCCUGCAUUAAAGUCACCGGCCAUGAGUAACACCUCUGAGUGUCCAUUUUCUAGUGUGUACUUAUGGAUCUAUACAGCUCCGUGAGUGCAGGCUUAGGGCCAGCAUUGGUUUGUGGUGAGAUGUUAUUGUGAAUGUAGGAUGCCCAGGAAAUGAUGGGUUGAUAUGUCCACUUUGAUCUGUUAACAUUUAAAAUGAUAUUCGGGUGAUGUAUGAAUUGCCUGCUGUUUGUAAAAAAUAGACGUGUGUGUAAAGAGAGACAUUUUAUGGAAAUGUGAAGAUUACUGAAGACACUGCCUCACUUGACAACAUGUCUGCAAAAGCAUUGCGGCCCCUAGCUUCUCCAGUUAAUUGUUUCAGUUCAUGUAAAUAAACCAAAUUAAGGGUAAUUCCUCAACAAAAUAAGCUCAGAUUUUCAAAUGUUUUUUUAUCUGUAAUGUCAAACCUUAUCUCCACCCUGAAGAAAAGAAUCACAGAGCAUUCCUCUCCAAGCCUCUGAGCUACACUGUUGCAAGCAGCAAUAAAGCAUCUUGCUCUGUC